rnacentral:rRNA from 1 species
GACGAACGCUGGCGGCGUGCUUAAUACAUGCAAGUCAACUGAACUUGAGGUAGCAAUAUCACAAGAGAGGUGGCGCACGGGUGAGUAACACGUAGGUAAUCUGCCUUUAGGUCUGACAUAAUUCCGCGAAAGCGGGACUAAUAUCAGAUGAUGCAGCGGCUCGACAUCGAGACAGUUGUUAAACCUUCGGGCCUAAAGAUGAGCCUGCGUCUGAUUAGGUAGUUGGCGGAGUAAAAGCCCACCAAGCCUGCGAUCAGUAGCUGGUCUGAGAGGAUGAUCAGCCACACUGGAACUGAGACACGGUCCAGACUCCUACGGGAGCAGCAGUAAGGAAUAUUGCUCAAUGGCCGAAAGGCUGAAGCAGCAACGCCGCGUGGAGGAUGAAAUUACUUUUGUAUGUAAACUCCUGUAAGAAGGGAAAAU